CCUCCUUAAGCUUCACCCCUGAAGCCCUCUUCACCCUUGCUUGCUCUACAGAGUUCAUAUAUUUUGCCCAAGCUGCAGGUGCUAUGAUUAUUGGGACUUAAAAUAAUACCAAUCUAUUAAAGGCACUGAACUAUCAUAAACCUGCUAUGUACUCAAAUUGUCACAGGGUCAGACCAGGCUGAGAAUUUUAGGUUAAUUAUAAACACCGUGUACGUUUUGCCUCAAGUGAACAAGAAGGAUGGGAGAGAUAUCAUUUCAGAAGACAAGGUUCUGUGUUUUAUUUGUUGUUGUUGGUUCUCUCCCCCCUUUUCUUUCAACUUCUGUGAUUCCAGGAGGAAUGCUGGCACUGUCAGGAGAUGAAAGGCAACCUCAAGCAUAUAGUGAUGCUUGGAUUGAGGUGAGAAUUCUAAUGGAUAUUCCCAUUUCAACUUAAGAGAAGACAAUAAUAAUUGAUUAUAGGGAAAUCUUAAUCUUGUGCCUCCUGAGUGCAAAGACUUCCAUAGUAAGAUCACUUUAAACAUGCAUGUGAAGGAUGGUCCUGAGGAGGAAAUGCUUUAGGGAGUUUUUUUUUUUUUUUUUUUUUUUUUUUUUUUUGGCAUUUGACGGUUCUGAUGGCCUCAGAUGAAAAAUGAAAAAAAAAAAAACCCAAGUAUUUGUCACAGAGCUGGAGUCAAAUAUGCACAGACCACUGUGUUUGGGAUUCAUUCUGUUAUGGAAAUGACUGCUAAAAGGGGGGAAAAAGUAUCACUGUAUAAAUUGUUCAUUUUCUAACAUGGUAGAAGAGACAGGACAGCGGUUCGGAAGGAAAAAAAAGGCAAUACUAUUUUUUAAAUGUCUUUGUCAAAAGAUGUUCAUUUGCUUUGACUCCAAGAUUAAAAAGCUCUCAGAUUAAAAGAUAACUAUCCAUCAUUGUUAUCUUUUAAAAAAAGAAACCCCAGCCCACUCUUUUAUUGCAGAUGUAAAUUUAUUUUAAUGAGAGGAAAGGCUAGCUUUAAUUUUGCUAGUGAAAGUUAAAAAAUUGUCUUAAUCUUAAAAAAAAGAGAAAGAAAUCCAAACAUCUAGGAUUUAUGCUUUUUUUUUUUCCUUCUUACAGAAAGUGGCUGGAUAGACAGUUAAUUCUUUACAGAUUAAAUCACAAUAUGAAUACAGACCCCAGCAAAUGCAGAGUUUAACUCUGAACUCAGGGGAAGCUACGCUGGUUUUCCAGGAUUCAUUGAAUUCCCCUUUUCCCUCAAUCUAGUCCGUGUGUGUUUUUCUCUUCUACCGUGCUGGAACUCCAUGAAUAGGGAAAGGGCUGUCCAUUGUGUCCCUCUGAACCUCCAAGUCAAUGCAAUUUUUAACCACUGGCUUGUGGUACUUUGAAAAUCACCAGGGGCUGUCAGAGUUGGGUCCUCUGAAAAAUUUACAGUGCUAAAUCAGAGCAUAUGCUGGCAGGGGGAAAAAUGGCUUAAGAUUGGAGCAAGUGCAGUAUGUGUCUGCCCCCUAGUGUAGGAGUCCUGGCUGCCUAAAAUUCAACUUUAAAAGAAAAGGAGCUCUUAAAGGGAAACGACUUUGGGCACACGUAGGCAUAAGAGAAUGAAACUUCUGUACAUUUUAAUCUGAAUAAUUCUUCGGGAAUUAAAAUUAAUUGGCUCUGGCUUUCUUGGACUGUACUGAGAUCUCCUAGCCUCUACGUUUCCCGGAGGCACUGGUGAAGAGGUGAUUUUUUUUUUUUUUGAACUGGGUUUAUGUGCGUCCCCCUUACCCCCUCCUCUUUUUUUUCUUCUUCUUUCUGUCUCUGUCUUCUCUCUCUCCUCUCUCUCUCUCUCUCCCCCCCCUCUCGCUGGCUUUUUUUUUUUUUUAAAUGAAGAACCAUUCCUUGAACAUUUUGGACAGAGCACAGAAUGGCUUCUUAAGUCAGCCUGGCACGGUUGCAUUAGACCCUAAGGUAGAGGUUUGCCUGAAAUCGGCUCUCCGGCUGCACCCACCCCCGCGAUGAAGGUUUAGAAGUGUCUCUAUGCUCCCUGUGGUCUAACUCCUCUCUCCUACGAGGUCUCUUCAUCUAAUGGGAUCCCACGCUGUCUUCUUACAUGAUGUCCCCACGAUUUUGAACAGAUGUCAAGGAACAUCUGGAUGUAGGCCAAGUGAAUGACUGGCGCGUUCCACCCAGGAAUGUACUGAAGAGAACCACAGGAUGCUUGAGGGUACAACUCCAUCCUCCUCCUGAAAUCUGCCUGUCCUCUUGGAAGAAGUGGCCCCAGCCGGGCUCAGCUUACUCACAGAAAAUGUGCACGAGGCUCCAUCAUGGAACCAAGAAAACAGAGUCUUGCCUGUAGCCAUUGGUCUAACUUCAAAGCCAGAGUUGUGGAGAUGGAUAGGUGAUCUGACAGAUAAAGCCUGCAUCACAUCAGGAGUUGCAAGUUCAAGUCAGGUAACAACAACAAACAACCACCACCAAGUGUGAAGAGCUGGGAAAAGGCCAUCGAUUAGACCAGAAAU